rnacentral:rRNA from 1 species
AACCCUCGCUGUGUGUUACAAGUGUCACACGGAACUGCCGGUCGAUAAACCGGAGGAAGGUGGGGAUGACGUCAAGUCAGCAUGGCCUUUAUAUCCUGGGCUACACACACGCUACAAUGGGAAGGGACAAUAGGUUGCGAAGCCGCGAGGUGGAGCCAAUCCAGCAAAACUUCCCUCAGUUCAGAUUGCAGGCUGCAACUCGCCUGCAUGAAGUUGGAGUUGCUAGUAAACGCAGGUCAGCCAUACUGCGUUGAAUACGUUCCCGGGGCUU